rnacentral:piRNA from 1 species
UAUUGAGUGAUGACUAUAUUGAUCUGUGU